UUUCUUGACCUUGUAAGGCCUU
rnacentral:siRNA from 1 species